rnacentral:rRNA from 1 species
GUGCCAGCAGCCGCGGUAAUACGAAGGGGGCAAGCGUUGUUCGGAAUUACUGGGCGUAAAGCGCGCGUAGGCGGUGUGCAUAGUCAGGGGUGAAAUCCCGGGGCUCAACCUCGGAAUUGCCUUUGAUACUGGCACGCUUGAAUCCGUGAGAGGGUGGUGGAAUGGCCAGUGUAGAGGUGAAAUUCGUAGAUAUUGGCCGGAACACCAGUGGCGAAGGCGGCCACCUGGCGCGGUAUUGACGCUGAGGCGCGAAAGCGUGGGGAGCAAACAGGAUUAGAUACCCUGGUAGUCC